rnacentral:rRNA from 1 species
GACGAACGCUGGCGGCGUGCCUAAUACAUGCAAGUCGAGCGAACAGACGAGGAUCUUGCUCCUCUGACGUUAGCCGCGGACGGGUGAGUAACACGUGGAUCACCUACCUAUAAGACUGGUAUAACUUCGGGAAACCGGAGCUAAUACCGGAUAAUAUAUUGAAGCGCAUGGUUGGAUAGUGAAAGACGGUUUUGCUGUACCUUCUAGAUGGAUCCGCGCUGCAUUGGCUGGUUGGUACGGUAACGGCUUACCAAGGCGACGAUGCGUAGCCGACCUGAGAGGGUGAUCGGCCACACUGGAACUGAGACGCGGUCCAGAGUCCUACGGGAGGCAGCAGUAGGGAAUCUUACGCAAUGGGCGGAAGCCUGACGGAGCAACGCCGCGUGAGUGAUGAAGGUCUUCGGAUCGUAAGACUGUGUUAGGAGUGAAGAACAAAUGUGGAAGUAACUAUGCACGUCGUGACGGUACCUGAUCAAGAAGCAACGGCUAACUACGUG